rnacentral:rRNA from 1 species
GGCUACCAUGCAAGUCGAACGGCAGCACAGGGAAGCUUGCUCCCUGGGUGGCGAGUGGCGGACGGGUGAGGAAUACAUCGGAAUCUACUUUGUCGUGGGGGAUAACGUAGGGAAACUUACGCUAAUACCGCAUACGACCUACGGGUGAAAGCAGGGGACCUUCGGGCCUUGCGCGAUUGAAUGAGCCGAUGUCGGAUUAGCUAGUUGGCGGGGUAAAGGCCCACCAAGGCGACGAUCCGUAGCUGGUCUGAGAGGAUGAUCAGCCACACUGGAACUGAGACACGGUCCAGACUCCUACGGGAGGCAGCAGUGGGGAAUAUUGGACAAUGGGCGCAAGCCUGAUCCAGCCAUACCGCGUGGGUGAAGAAGGCCUUCGGGUUGUAAAGCCC